rnacentral:lncRNA from 1 species
UGUGAGCUGCUGAGACGGCCUGCCAUGCACCUCACUUCCUCUGUGCGACUGGGGGACAGAAGAAUAGGCCAGUCUUGAGAGAGGGGGUGCCACCUGCCUUAGAAAGUGAAGAUGGCGAGACAGUAGCACCAAGUGCCUGGGAUCAUUGGAAACGAUGGGGACAUGCCCUUGAGAAUGUAGCAUCUCAGCUUUCACCCUGGACCUCUUGCCCUGAUCUCUUCCUCCCUCAGGAGGGUCCUCUACCCCUGCCCUCCAGCCUCACACAGUGUCUUGGUGCUGCCUAACAGUCUGGUUAGAGAUUGGAGACCCUGAUUCCCAGCAUGCAUGAAGUCCUGCCCAUCAGGGUCUCAGCAUGGCUGGUAUUUUCCAGGCCUGAGGCCACUGUUUCAUCUCCACCAUCCACAGUCAUCCCCUGGUCCCUGGCUCUGGCUGCCAGGAUCCCAACUGGAACCAACUUUUGGCCUUGCUAUUUCUAUCUGUUGGCUCAGGUAGCCCUGGGACCUGGGCACCCAAGGAUGUGUGAGUCCCAGGGCCAACGUUCUUGGCAUAACAAAGGGGUUCCAGACACACAGACCUGUUCUGAACCACUCAGAACAUGGGGACCAUACUUGCCUGUCACAUAUAACAAGGAGUCCUCUGUGGGCAGGGAAGACAUAGAAGGACACUGUUCCUACCACCAGGAGUCGCUGAGGAGAGGAAAUCAUCCCUCGAGGAGACACCCACAGGUCACCUGCCCUUCCGAGGGAUGAUGAAGACUUCAUAAGCUUUCAAACCAGCCACACUUGCCCCAUAGGCCAGAGGCCUUUCCCACCCAGGGGGGCUUUCUCUUCCAGCAGCAUCUAGGAUUCCCAAUCAUCACUGUCAACAUUUGGGUAUGAUCACUCAUUAUCCAGGUGUGAAAGCUGCUGCUGCCAAAGAUGGAGUCUCUUAUGUCAGACCCACACCCAUGUGGAGCUGGGAGGUUGUGGGCGGCACACACAGGUACAUCUGAGAUGAGAGCCAUCACUCAAUGGAAACACACCUUCAGGUUUCCUGCUCUUAGGAGACACCUCCCAAGGAACAGCAGUGUGUCUGGGAGUGACACCAGAGGCAGAAAGAGGGCCUGACUAAGGACUUGGCUGAGGCAGCAACCAAUGUUCCCUUUUCUUCCUCCAAUACUAUUCCCCCAGCCUCCUGUGCCAUAACCUCCUUGCUGCCUCUUCCUAAAUAAAGAACUCUACCCCAGGA